AACGUGCGUGACCGAUCAUUGUCAGGGGAGUAAGCCCGCGAAAGCGGGUCUAAGACCGCGUACGCUCGGAUCUAUAGAGAGGUUCGAGGAAAAGCGCAAGCCGGGCGAUGCAGGGCGUACGGCCCAUCAGGUAGUUGGUGCGGUAAAAGCGGACCAAGCCGAUGACGGGUAGCUGGUCUGAGAGGAUGGACAGCCAGACUGGGACUGAGAGACGGCCCAG
rnacentral:rRNA from 1 species